GACGAACGCUGGCGGCGUGCUUAACACAUGCAAGUCGAACGGUGAAGCGCCUUCCUUUUUGGUGGGUGUGGAUGAGUGGCGAACGGGUGAGUAACACGUGAGUAACCUGCCCCCUUCUUCUGGAUAACCGCAUGAAAGUGUGGCUAAUACGGGAUAUUCUGGGUCUGUCGCAUGAUGGGUCUGGGAAAGAUAUUGUUUUGGUGGGGGAUGGGCUCGCGGCCUAUCAGCUUGUUGGUGGGGUGAUGGCCUACCAAGGCGGUGACGGGUAGCCGGCCUGAGAGGGUGGACGGUCACACUGGGACUGAGACACGGCCCAGACUCCUACGGGAGGCAGCAGUGGGGAAUAUUGCACAAUGGGCGCAAGCCUGAUGCAGCGACGCCGCGUGAGGGAUGGAGGCCUUCGGGUUGUGAACCUCUUUCGCCAGUGAAGCAGGCCUGCCUCGUUUGUGGGUGGGUUGACGGUAGCUGGAGAAGAAGCGCCGGCUAACUACGUG
rnacentral:rRNA from 1 species